rnacentral:lncRNA from 1 species
AUGGUGGCAGUGAUGCAAGAGGGUACGCUGAGCAGCACCUAUGACAGUGUGGGCAAGAAGGGCUUUAAAGUGAAAAAGUGGAAUGCAGUAACCCUCUGGGCUGUGAUAUUGUGCUUGGUAACUGUGCCAUCUGCAAGAACCACAUUAUGGAUCUUUUUUGCAUAGAAUGUCAAGCUAACCAAGUGUCUGCUACUUCUGAAGAGUAUACCAUCUUAUGGGGCAUGUGUAACCAUACUUUUCACUUCCACUGCAUCUGUCACUGGAUCAGAACACCACAGGUAUGUCCAUUGGACAACAAAGAGUGAGAAUUCCAAAAGUAUGGGCAC